GAGCGGCGGACGGGUGAGUAACGCGUGGGUGACCUGCCCCAUACCGGGGGAUAACAGCUGGAAACGGCUGCUAAUACCGCAUAAGCGCACAGAGCUGCAUGGCUCGGUGUGAAAAACUCCGGUGGUAUGGGAUGGGCCCGCGUCUGAUUAGGCAGUUGGCGGGGUAACGGCCCACCAAACCGACGAUCAGUAGCCGGCCUGAGAGGGCGACCGGCCACAUUGGGACUGAGACACGGCCCAGACUCCUACGGGAGGCAGCAGUGGGGAAUAUUGCACAAUGGGGGAAACCCUGAUGCAGCGACGCCGCGUGGAGGAAGAAGGUCUUCGGAUUGUAAACUCCUGUUGUUGAGGAAGAUAAUGACGGUACUCAACAAGGAAGUGACGGCUAACUACGUGCCAGCAGCCGCGGUAAAACGUAGGUCACAAGCGUUGUCCGGAAUUACUGGGUGUAAAGGGAGCGCAGGCGGGAAGACAAGUUGGAAGUGAAAUCUAUGGGCUCAACCCAUAAACUGCUUUCAAAACUGUUUUUCUUGAGUAGUGCAGAGGUAGGCGGAAUUCCCGGUGUAGCGGUGGAAUGCGUAGAUAUCGGGAGGAACACCAGUGGCGAAGGCGGCCUACUGGGCACC
rnacentral:rRNA from 1 species